UUGUCAUACAGCUCAGUUGGUAGAGCACAAGACUCUUAAACUCAGGAUCAUGGAUUCGAGCCCCACAUUGGGCAAA